rnacentral:rRNA from 1 species
CAUAGGUUAAUGAGGCGAACCGGGGGAACUGAAACAUCUAAGUACCCCGAGGAAAAGAAAUCAACCGAGAUUCCCCCAGUAGCGGCGAGCGAACGGGGAGCAGCCCAGAGCCUGAAUCAGUGUGUGUGUUAGUGGAAGCGUCUGGAAAGGCGCGCGAUACAGGGUGACAGCCCCGUACACAAAAAUGCACAUGCUGUGAGCUCGAUGAGUAGGGCGGGACACGUGGUAUCCUGUCUGAAUAUGGGGGGACCAUCCUCCAAGGCUAAAUACUCCUGACUGACCGAUAGUGAACCAGUACCGUGAGGGAAAGGCGAAAAGAACCCCGGCGAGGGGAGUGAAAAAGAACCUGAAACCGUGUACGUACAAGCAGUGGGAGCACGCUUAGGCGUGUGACUGCGUACCUUUUGUAUAAUGGGUCAGCGACUUAUAUUCUGUAGCAAGGUUAACCGAAUAGGGGAGCCGAAGGGAAACCGAGUCUUAACUGGGCGUUAAGUUGCAGGGUAUAGACCCGAAACCCGGUGAUCUAGCCAUGGGCAGGUUGAAGGUUGGGUAACACUAACUGGAGGACCGAACCGACUAAUGUUGAAAAAUUAGCGGAUGACUUGUGGCUGGGGGUGAAAGGCCAAUCAAACCGGGAGAUAGCUGGUUCUCCCCGAAAGCUAUUUAGGUAGCGCCUCGUGAAUUCAUCUCCGGGGGUAGAGCACUGUUUCGGCAAGGGGGUCAUCCCGACUUACCAACCCGAUGCAAACUGCGAAUACCGGAGAAUGUUAUCACGGGAGACACACGGCGGGUGCUAACGUCCGUCGUGAAGAGGGAAACAACCCAGACCGCCAGCUAAGGUCCCAAAGUCAUGGUUAAGUGGGAAACGAUGUGGGAAGGCCCAGACAGCCAGGAUGUUGGCUUAGAAGCAGCCAUCAUUUAAAGAAAGCGUAAUAGCUCACUGGUCGAGUCGGCCUGCGCGGAAGAUGUAACGGGGCUAAACCAUGCACCGAAGCUGCGGCAGCGACGCUUAUGCGUUGUUGGGUAGGGGAGCGUUCUGUAAGCCUGUGAAGGUGUGCUGUGAGGCAUGCUGGAGGUAUCAGAAGUGCGAAUGCUGACAUAAGUAACGAUAAAGCGGGUGAAAAGCCCGCUCGCCGGAAGACCAAGGGUUCCUGUCCAACGUUAAUCGGGGCAGGGUGAGUCGACCCCUAAGGCGAGGCCGAAAGGCGUAGUCGAUGGGAAACAGGUUAAUAUUCCUGUACUUGGUGUUACUGCGAAGGGGGGACGGAGAAGGCUAUGUUGGCCGGGCGACGGUUGUCCCGGUUUAAGCGUGUAGGCUGGUUUUCCAGGCAAAUCCGGAAAAUCAAGGCUGAGGCGUGAUGACGAGGCACUACGGUGCUGAAGCGACAAAUGCCCUGCUUCCAGGAAAAGCCUCUAAGCAUCAGGUAACAUCAAAUCGUACCCCAAACCGACACAGGUGGUCAGGUAGAGAAUACCAAGGCGCUUGAGAGAACUCGGGUGAAGGAACUAGGCAAAAUGGUGCCGUAACUUCGGGAGAAGGCACGCUGAUAUGUAGGUGAAGUCCCUCGCGGAUGGAGCUGAAAUCAGUCGAAGAUACCAGCUGGCUGCAACUGUUUAUUAAAAACACAGCACUGUGCAAACACGAAAGUGGACGUAUACGGUGUGACGCCUGCCCGGUGCCGGAAGGUUAAUUGAUGGGGUCAGCGCAAGCGAAGCUCUUGAUCGAAGCCCCGGUAAACGGCGGCCGUAACUAUAACGGUCCUAAGGUAGCGAAAUUCCUUGUCGGGUAAGUUCCGACCUGCACGAAUGGCGUAAUGAUGGCCAGGCUGUCUCCACCCGAGACUCAGUGAAAUUGAACUCGCUGUGAAGAUGCAGUGUACCCGCGGCAAGACGGAAAGACCCCGUGAACCUUUACUAUAGCUUGACACUGAACAUUGAGCCUUGAUGUGUAGGAUAGGUGGGAGGCUUAGAAGUGUGGACGCCAGUCUGCAUGGAGCCGACCUUGAAAUACCACCCUUUAAUGUUUGAUGUUCUAACGUUGACCCGUAAUCCGGGUUGCGGACAGUGUCUGGUGGGUAGUUUGACUGGGGCGGUCUCCUCCUAAAGAGUAACGGAGGAGCACGAAGGUUGGCUAAUCCUGGUCGGACAUCAGGAGGUUAGUGCAAUGGCAUAAGCCAGCUUGACUGCGAGCGUGACGGCGCGAGCAGGUGCGAAAGCAGGUCAUAGUGAUCCGGUGGUUCUGAAUGGAAGGGCCAUCGCUCAACGGAUAAAAGGUACUCCGGGGAUAACAGGCUGAUACCGCCCAAGAGUUCAUAUCGACGGCGGUGUUUGGCACCUCGAUGUCGGCUCAUCACAUCCUGGGGCUGAAGUAGGUCCCAAGGGUAUGGCUGUUCGCCAUUUAAAGUGGUACGCGAGCUGGGUUUAGAACGUCGUGAGACAGUUCGGUCCCUAUCUGCCGUGGGCGCUGGAGAACUGAGGGGGGCUGCUCCUAGUACGAGAGGACCGGAGUGGACGCAUCACUGGUGUUCGGGUUGUCAUGCCAAUGGCACUGCCCGGUAGCUAAAUGCGGAAGAGAUAAGUGCUGAAAGCAUCUAAGCACGAAACUUGCC